UCGUUUAACACUUGGAACUUAAAAUAAGAAGUCUUGUUUUCUGAGAAACUGAUCUAAAUGAAGUGAGUUGGUGAUUCAAACAAGAACAAAUAAGUCUCAGAAAAAUCUUAAUUCAAAGGGAAAACAAAUGUUCAUUCUCCUUUUAUUCAUAUUUUAAGCAUAAACUCGCUUCAUUUUGUUACGGUUUUUAAAAUUCGUUUAACACUUGCAUCUUAAGUAAAUGAUUCUUAAUUUAUUUAUUCUUAUAUUAUUUUUCUGUAAUGUAUAAUCUAUCAUGAUUCUUUAUUAAAAAAAAGUCAAAACUCGUAAAGCAGAAUGAACGCAGUGCGCAUGCGCAGGACACACCAGAGUUAUGACUUUUCAUUUCAAGGCGAAUCUCUCCAGUAAUAUUUAGUUUAUGAGACAAUAUAAAUAAUACACCAGCCACACUAUAGAAGUGUCACAUAACUCAACCAGUGUUUAAUGAGUUGUGCGGUAAGAAUAAGAGUUUAACCGCACAGAGGUAACCGUUUAUAGAUUAACAAACACGCAGUGUGUUUAAAUAAAGCUUCCGCUGUUUGAAUCCGCGGACUUCCGCGUUUGAUCGAACACUUUCAGACUGUUUACUGUCUCGAGUCCGGAUAAACUUGAGUUUUCCUGCGGAUCUGCGCUUCUCUGCUGAUUCCAGCGUGUUUUCGGAGAGGACUUUAUCCCAGCGGAAUAUGAGCAGAGAUGCCGUCGGUGUCCAGCGCAGUGAAGGAUCUGUAUCUGUCCUCUUCACUCAGCGAUCUGAACAAGAAAGCAGAAAUCAAACCGGAUAAAACCAGCACCAGACAGUGAGUGUGAACACUGGAACCGAAGCACGCGCCACUUCUGAUCUGAGCUAUUGCGUUUACAGAAUGACCCGAAAAUGAACAUUUGCUGUAAAGAUGAUUUCAGCUGAAGCCGUGCUCCUCUGUGAAUCACAGAAUGCAAGUCAAUGGCUACCGUCACUUUAAGAGUCAAAACAAUCCUAUCAGGGAACAUUAAACUCCUGAUGAUAUACUGAGAUCUUAUGAAGUGAAACUGAUCAUUAUUUACAGCAUUAUUACUGUAAUCCAGAGCCUCAGACAAACGGGGAAAUAUGAUUCUUUUCUGCGAACUGAUUCUUUCGGACAGUUCGUUUCAAUGAACUGAUUCAGUUCACUAUGUUUCUGUAAUCACACGAUGACGUCACACACAGGAUUCUAUUAUUAAAGCACCCAAUAAUGAUGUGAAACGUGGAUGUUUUGCACGUCUAAAGCAUAUAAAGUGAAUAAACUCGUCUUCAUCAGCUCACCUUUUUACAUGAACACUGAGAAACCAUAAAAAGGUUGAUUCGGCCCUUCAUUCAAGUGUUGUCCUGAUGAUAUACUGAGAUCUUAUGAAGUGAAACUGAUCAUUAUUUACAGCAUUAUUACUGUAAUCCAGAGCCUCAGACAAACGGGGAAAUAUGAUUCUUUUCUGCGAACUGAUUCUUUCGGACAGUUCGUUUCAAUGAACUGAUUCAGUUCACUAUGUUUCUGUAAUCACACGAUGACGUCACACACAGGAUUCUAUUAUUAAAGCACCCAAUAAUGAUGUGAAACGUGGAUGUUUUGCACGUCUAAAGCAUAUAAAGUGAAUAAACUCGUCUUCAUCAGCUCACCUUUUUACAUGAACACUGAGAAACCAUAAAAAGGUUGAUUCGGCCCUUCAUUCAAGUGUUGUGUUCACGGUGUUCAGUCCGAGUCGAACGGUUUCCUCAGGAACUGAAGCUGAAUCAGUUCAUUCAUCAGAAUCAGAUUCGCCGCUGUUUCCACUCGUUUCAUCCAGUUCUCUAAAAAGAUCCGGUUCAGAAGAAUGAUUCGUUUGUGAACCGAGCAUCACUCCGGAUCGUUUGUCUGAGGCUCUGCAUUACAGUAAUAAUGCUGUAAAUAAUGAUCAGUUUCACUUCAUAAGAUCUCAGUAUAUCAUCAGG
rnacentral:lncRNA from 1 species